GAUGAAGAACGUAGCGAAAUGCGAUAAGUAGUGUGAAUUGCAGAAUUCAGUGAAUCAUCGAAUGUUUGAACGCACAUUGCGCCCCUUGGUAUUCCAUGGGGCAUGCCUGUUCGAGCGUCAUUUGUACCUUCAAGCUCUGCUUGGUGUUGGGUGUUUGUCUCGCCUCUGCGUGUAGACUCGCCUCAAAACAAUUGGCAGCCGGCGUAUUGAUUUCGGAGCGCAGUACAUCUCGCGCUUUGCACUCAUAACGACGACGUCCAAAAGUACAUUUUUACACUCUUGACCUCGGAUCAGGUAGGGAUACCCGCUGAACUUAAGCAUAUCAAUAAGCGGAGGA
rnacentral:misc_RNA from 1 species